rnacentral:lncRNA from 12 species
GCGAUGGCUGAGCCCUGGAGGGGCUGGUGGGACUCCUCCGGUCCUCCCACUCCUCGGGGACUCAGGAGCUGACCUGGGAUGUGUCUCUCCUGUGUUCCCAGCUGGUAGCAGGAGCUGGAGCCUGUGCAUGGCUCAGCCAGGGAAGGAGCAGGACGUGGAAGUUCAGUGCUGGGAUCCCUCUCACACCUCUCCUUUGGGAUCAGCCACUCUUGGAAGGCUGCAGAUCAUCUCCAAAGGGCUUUUGCACAGCUCCAAGUGGGGAUUUCAUUCCAUGCAUGGCUGAGGCUUCAAAAGAUACAGAGACCAAGUAAGCAGAGCUGUAGCAGAGCUGAAGGAUGGAGAGCAGCUUUGCCUGUGGAGAACUGGAUCCUCUGACUGCUGUGGCCUUGGCUUGGCAGAGUCUCCAGGAAGCCAAAGCAGUGCUACAAAGGAUUGAAAACAAAUUUUAUCAUCAAACAUGGAGCUGCGCCAAAUCCCAGGCAGCCAGAAGAAAGCUUUGGCACGAAAAGAGCUUUGAUGGCAAGAGGAGCAAAGAUGAAACAGCUUUGAGUGAGAAAAAGAGCAACGAGAUUGCUCCAGCCCACAGAGAGAGAAGCUCUGCUGUUCUCUCCCCUGCUCGCUCACAGACCUGUUUGCCUGAGAGCCCACCCAGAAUGUCCCCUCUGUCCCCCAGGGCAGCCUCAGGAUGCUGCAGCCCUGCCAGGAAUUUGGCUGUGGAUGGAAAAGGCUCAGCUGGGACAUGGGCACCUGCAAAGAGCCUGGACAGCCCAAGAAGGGACAAUUUCAGGGAGCUGGGAUAUUCAAGAGGAUUCCCAGCAGAGAAGGAAAAAUCUCCCUGCUCCCUGCAUCACACACCUCUCUCCCCUGCAAGGAGCAGCUCCUUCUCUGUCCUGUAUGGCAGCAACACUCCCAUGCCCACGGCUGUCCUGCUUCCCACAUCCCACCUUUCAGCAGCCAGCAAGGCCAGAGAUCAGAAGCUGGAAGAGCUGUGGAGAAAAUCACCCCAAAAUAAGUUAGAGCAACUCAAGAAGAGGAUCCAGGAGCAGAAGAGAAAACAGCAAGCAGCAGCCAGGGAGCAGGAGCACCUGAUUUUUGCUAAAGACCCCCUGCCAAAGAAAGCCCUGAAGAGAAAGGUUUGCAGAGUGGCCUCUGCUGCUCCUGCUCCAGCUCUCAGAGACCAAAAAGAGAGGAGCUCAGCAUGGAGAAUUCAAACACAACACCAGAGGCAGCUUUCAUCCAAGUCCUGUGUUCUAGAGAGAGCAGUAGCAGGGAAAGGUGUGAACCCACCUGGUGUUUCUGCGUGGAGAGAAGGUCAGAAGUUGGCCAGAAGGCUGCUGGGUCCACCCCCUCCACUUCCACAUUUGAGGAGCAGAACUGGAGAGCAGAGCACAGCAAAAACCUUUGAACCUUUGGAAGGAGCUCGAGGAUUUGGGGCAAUGCCAGUGAUGCAAAACAGCUCCAGAGUGAAGGGAGAUGAAUCUGUGGGGAAGAGCCCUGGAGCACAAAGAGCUGUGGUUGCUCCCAGCAAGGCUGAAAGGGAGAGCAAUGCACCCACAGAGGAUACAAACCAAGCACUCAGGAACCUUCUCCUGCAAAGCCAGCCCUGUGAGGAGCACAGACAUAUCAGGCUCCCCAGAGAUGCUGUGAAACACCAACCCCAAGGGAUCCAUUCUCCAUCACCUGGACUUUCUUUAACUAAAGAUGGAGCCAAGCCCAGCACCUCAGGAAGCUGCAGCAGAGGAAAUAGUGCAUCUCCUCAGAGACAGAAAGGGUCUGAGAAAGAAAGCCUUAAGCAACCGUCAAAGAGGAGGGUAAACCUUAAAAAACCUCACCCCUAUAGCCCUGAAAGUGUUCGGGAAUUUAUGUAUCGAAAAAAGGCAGAAAGAAAGAAAAAACUCCUUGAAGAGAAAAAGUCUUUGGCUCAGGCUGUGGAGUUGAGGAAGGAGAGGUUGCAAGAAGUGUACAGGAAACAAAAAGAAGCUGUUGGGAAGAAAUCAUGUCCUGAUGAGAUGCACAAACCCAUUGGGAAAACGGGUUCUGCCAAAGGAAAUCCUCAGUGUGAAUUUGAGCAAGAGCAAACCAGUGGGGGAGUGCUGGAAAGGAGUUUCAUGGCCUGGGUGGAUGAAACAUCCUCUCCUCUAUCACCUGAAGAUCACACAAGCAGGAAUCAACUCCUAGAAACAGCUCAACCACCUAAAAAAGGAGAGGCAUCAGGUCCUCUAGCACCACUGGAAUCCAAAUGCAAAUCCAAUUUCAGUCCCCUGAAAUCUGAAGACUUGAGGGACUGCUCUCCCCCAGCUCUUCACUCACUUCCUCUGAGCUUUGCUGUUCCUCAGAAAGAUGCAAAACCUUCCUCCAAGGACUCAUCUUUUGGGCUUUCUCCACACAGAAGCAAACAGGAUCGAGUAAGAGCCAUUCACAGUCUGUCCAGGGAACUUGAAGAAAAGAUUGAUGUGGCAAGGAAGAGGCUGAGUGCAGCCAGCUGGGUUAAAGCCUCUGCUGACAAACAAUCAACAGAGACAACUCUGGACCUUUAUAGUGGUCCUCUUUCUGUCUCAGAACCUGAGACUUCCAGGGAUAGGCAAGAGAGCACAAUGACUGCACAAAUGCUUCUGGGCAGCACAGCUCCUGAUGAGCUUCAUGUGACGUCCCAUAGGGAAUGCCAUGGACCGGGCAGGACGGGCCUGGGGGGCAGCACUGAGGGAGCAGCAGCCCUGGACAGACAGAAGGAAAUGCCAACUCCUUUGCCUGGUGGGAAUGCUGAGAGGAAAGAAUUGCCCUGGAUCACUCCUAGUGCAGGACAGAGUCACCUCAGCUCUGCAGGAGACCUGAGCAUCACUUUGCAAGGUUUCCCUGUGAAUAAGGGCUCCAAGGUGGACAUAAGUCUAUGGCAUGAAAAGCCAAUAACCAGCCCAGCCUCUCCAGCUCACAGAUUCCUCACUAGAAGCCCACAGGGAGAACUCACGGCACGGAGGGAUCAAUGUGGAUGUGAGACUGUUUUGAAAGGUCAGAACCAAGAGGAAAUGGCCAACCCAUCUACUGGAGAGAGCCUGAGGAUCUGGGACAGCCUGAGCUUCCAGCCCUCUGCCACUCUGAGCACUGACAGCUCUGAGCAGGACUUGGGUGAAGGAGAUUUUGGCAGCACAGAGCUGGAAGACAAACACAGGAGCCACAUGGACAUUUUGAGGCAAACCUCCCUACUACUGGCUCACAGACUGAAGCUCCAGCAGGAACAGCAGAAACAGCAGCUUGUGGUGCUGAGGGAGAAAGCAAAGCAAGAGGUUGAGGAAAGCCACAGGUUUUUGAGGGACCUGCUGCAGCUUGGUGCGGAGGACAGCAGGAAUUCCAGAGGCAGUGAUCCUUCUGUGACAAGACUGUACCACGCAGAGCAGACACAGAGGGGACACUGGUUGGAAGGUGACUUUGCUGCUGGCAGUAAUCAAGAGAUGGGUUCACUGAGACACUCUGCAAUGAAGAUAGAAAGAGAUCCCAGUCCAGUGGGUCCCAAAAUACUGGGAGAAAGAAAACCUCUAGGAGGAGGAGGUUCAUAUUGCUCAGUUCUUCAAGGAGAUCACGGGCAGUCACUGCACAGCCAUCACACCUUGAAUCUGCUGUCACCUUGGGCAAAUCUGCCCCACGGGGAGACCUGGGCCAACUCUGGAGAGAGCAGUGACCAGGCCAGCUGCGACAGCCAGGUAACACCAGCCCUCCAAAGAGUCUGA